UAAUUACAAAAUUAAAGAUUUCACUAUGGGCCCUAACUGCUGGACUUUCCACUACAAAGUUAUCAAAAGGCAGGGAUGUGUUUGUUCAGAAAUUACAGGCUCUGUGAGCCGGAAGGGACUGUAGAAAUUACAUAUUACAACCCCUUCAUCAUACAGAGUUGGAGAUACUUGGCCCGGAGUACAGAGAAUCCAGGGGCUACCUCUGGGAAAGACAGUUUGGGGCCUCGUUGUAAGCAACCUAGUGUCCUUCAACUCACUCCAUCUGACUCCAUCUGGGCUGUGGCAACCUUUUCUCAUGCAUGAAGCUAUUGUUCCAGGGACUGGAGUGUACCCCUGGACUUGCCCUGACUUCAGGAGAUCCACAAGCAAUUCGACCUUUGUGCCCCAGGAGGACUGCAAGGGACCAAGAUGCACUGCAAGUGACCAAGACAGUAUCUGAGCCAUUGUGCUCCAGGGAGAGGAGGACCGCAGCCCAGGAAGCAGAUGAAGACUCAGGGGUCAGCAGAGGAGGGGAUGCUCAGAAAAUCACCAGACUGCAGCUUUUGUCUGGUUAACCUUUUCCCCUGAAUGUCAGACCCCUUACCUGCUUUCUUCUGAAUCCCAAACCCUUUCCCUACACUUUUCUUCUCGUUAUAAAAAGGGUCUGCUUGA